AGAUUGAACGCUGGCGGCAUGCCUUACACAUGCAAGUCGAACGGCAGCACGGGAGCAAUCCUGGUGGCGAGUGGCGAACGGGUGAGUAAUACAUCGGAACGUGCCCAGUAGUGGGGGAUGGCCCGGCGAAAGCCGGAUUAAUACCGCAUACGACCUACGGGUGAAAGCGGGGGAUCGCAAGACCUCGCGCUAUCGGAGCGGCCGAUGUCAGAUUAGCUAGUUGGUGGGUAAAAGCCCACCAAGGCGACGAUCUGUAGCUGGUCUGAGAGGACGACCAGCCACACUGGGACUGAGACACGGCCCAGACUCCUACGGGAGGCAGCAGUGGGAAUUUUGGACAAUGGGCGCAAGCCUGAUCCAGCCAUGCCGCGUGCGGGAAGAAGGCCUUCGGUUGUAAACCGCUUUUGUCAGGAAGAAAAGCUCCGGCCAAUACCCGGAGUGAUGACGGUACCUGAAGAAUAAGCACCGCUAACUACGUGCCAGCACGCCG
rnacentral:rRNA from 1 species